UCUCUUCAGAGCAAAAAAAAAAAAAAAAGACUGAGCUCCUCCAAAUCGAACCUUCUCUCAUCUCCCUCUCAUCGCCACAACCCCUCCAUCAUUCACAUCGCUACAGACCCAUCAUCCACAAGCACUCCAAAUCGACCUUGGACUCACCGUGGCUUCAUCGAUGGCGUCUGCUCUAUCAUUCACCAAAGUGUCCCGAGCACAUAGUCUUCCGCUUCAUCACCACGCACCACCGCUAAGCGGACCUCUGCCAUGUGAUCAACUGCAACCUAGUGAAGGGCAAGAUCUCAUACUCGAUUCGGCAGGCGUAGUUCUGCUCAGGGGCCAAAAAGGAGUGGGGAAAUUUUUUUUCAUUGCCAACAGAUCGAUACUCUUUGGGUCCGUGAAAUAGAAGUGAAUUAAGAAUGAAUGGACAAAGGGAUAAGGUGAAGCUUUUGGAUGCAAAACAGUCCGCUAUAAGUGCUUAUUUGGACUGCCACUGAGGUUUAACCAAAAGAGCUAUUAUGUUGAUAGUGCUAUCUGUUUUCAGGGUGAAUCACCUGUGAGGUACGAAAAAACAGACGUAUGGGCGGUCGGUGGAUAAGUCGGGAUGAUUUGGGUUUAGAUUGAGCAACUUAUUACUGGGAAUGAAAGUUUGGCGUACAAUGCAACUUUGGGAGUAGAGAAGAAGAACUUUGGACAUCAAGUAGCAACUAUUUUAUUGGUGAUACUUGGAGAUCCAACUAGCUCUAAUGUGGUCCAAGAUUUUUAGAGAAAGUAAGUUCAAGACAAACUCAUGAUGCUCAUGAUGAAUGUGAUGUGGAUUGAGCGAAGUUGUAGUUAGAUUAGAUUGUAAAUUUUAGUUUAGUGAACUUGGGAAAAUAAAUCUAUGCUCAUUGAUAUUGUACUUUGGAUGUUGAUAUAUAAUUUUGGUUAGUAAUCAUGUGUAAAUUUGCAGAU